rnacentral:rRNA from 1 species
GUGUCAGCAGCCGCGGUAAUACGAAGGUCCCAAGCGUUAUCCGGAUUUAUUGGGUUUAAAGGGUGCGUAGGCGGGUUAUUAAGUCAGUGGUGAAAGCCUUCAGCUUAACUGAAGAAUUGCCAUUGAUACUGAUGAUCUUGAGUAUGAUUGAGGUGGGCGGAAUGUGUCAUGUAGCGGUGAAAUGCUUAGAUAUGACACAGAACACCGAUUGCGAAGGCAGCUCACUAAGCCAUAACUGACGCUGAUGCACGAAAGCGUGGGGAGCAAACAGGAUUAGAAACCCCCGUAGUCC